rnacentral:lncRNA from 1 species
UUACAUAUAUCAAACAUGAGUUGAUCUUACAAAUCAGAAAAUACUACCUAAUCACCUACCUAACACCACUUAAUACAUUGGAAUUUGUUAAUUUUACUAGCUUAAGUUACGUUGCUGACUUUCAGUCAAUCAAUCAUCAAAAUACAUCAAAAUGUUUACCUACUAAGUUCAAAAUGAACUAGAUUACAAAAGGAUUAGAUGACAACUAAAUGUAGCAAGUAAACCAGCAACUUCUAGCUUUAGCUGCUGCACAUCAUGGCUCGACUGCCUGCUGCACUUUCCUCUUGCAUGGCCACCUUUGCAUGGGA